rnacentral:rRNA from 1 species
GACGAACGCUGGCGGCGUGCUUAACACAUGCAAGUCGAGCGGAGCGGCGAACGGGUGAGUAACGCGUGAGUAACUGCCCCCCUCCCUGGGAUAACAGUUGGAAACGGCUGCCAAUACCGGAUAGUGGGGGAUGACUCGCGGCCUAUAAGCUUGUUGGUGGGGUAGUGGCCUACCAAGGCGACGACGGGGAGCCGGCCUGAGAGGGCGACCGGCCCCAUUGGGCUGAGAUACUGCCCAAACUCCUACGGGAGGCAGCAGUGGGGAGUAUUGCACAAUGGUGGAAACCCUACUGCAGCAACGCCGCGGGCGGGAUGUCGGCCUUCGGGUUGUAAACCGCUUUCAGCCAUGACGCGGUAGUGGCAGAAGAAGCACCGGCUAACUCCGUGCCAGCAGCCGCGGUAAUUC